GUGUUCUAUUGUGUUCUACAUCAACAUGUUCCCUUAAUUAUUAGUUAUAAAUUUUCAUAAAAUUGUUUGAGAAGCCUUUUUAUGCAUUAAAGCAAACAACAAUACUAAACCUAAAUUCCAAAUUAGUUAGGAUUAGCAGAUCGGUUAUAUGAAUAAUUUUUUACUAUUUAGCUCUGUUUGAAACCAAUUCCAUAUCAAUAUCCA
rnacentral:misc_RNA from 1 species